rnacentral:lncRNA from 1 species
UAGUCCUUUGACCCUGAGGCCUUUGUCUUCAGCACCACGAAUCAAAUGAACACAGAUUGUAAACAAAAACAAGUGAACAGAGUAUCAAAUUAGACAAUUACAAAGAUCAUUAUAAUCAGAAACUAUAUAAAAACUAAAAUUAAACAUGUCCCUAAGGAUGGAAAUCAUUUUCCUACUAUACUUUCCAAUAACUAUGAAAAUUGCUGGUGAUUAAAUUGGAAUAAAAAUCCAGGGCUCCAUGAAGGACCACCUACUAUCACAAAACAUAAUUAUACUUUAUAAAUCAUUUAAUGAGUGAUAUUGUACACUCUUUAACGACAAAAUAGUAAUAUAUAAAAAAUUCUAAGCAAUACCUUUGAUCCAAAACUAAAAUGUGCUAAAAAAUUUAAGCAUUUAAUUCUUUUUAAUUACUGCAAAAAAUGAUAUUCCCAAUCAACCCCCCCUCCCACCCAAUGAAUCCCUAACUUUUUAGGAAGCUUUUGUUAAUAAGCAUUGUCUUCUCACUAGAAAUGGCAAUUUGGCUUGCUAGCUUAGGCCGCUCGUGACUCGGUUUGUAAAAAAAUCCAAACAUGCCCGAGCCUCAUUUUAAGGCAUCGGCCCAAGCCCUAGCUUGAGCCCAAGCCCGACUUGACUGGGGAAAAAAAUGGGGCAAAUUGCCAGUUAAACAAUUGAGCCGACACCGCACAGCUCGAUUUGUCGAACUUUUGCUCGGCUCGAACCAAAAAAAGACCAAAUUAAUUUUACUCGAGCCAAGUCCGAGCCUUAGGUUUCGACUUCGUGCCUGCUCGACUUUGCUCGUUGACAUCCCUACUUCUCACCAUCCUGAGUUGGGUGUUUACUCCAUAAACUCUUUUGGGGAAGCAAAUUUUUUAACAGAUGAAAUCAAUUUUGCAGAGUUUGGUCUAGGGGCAACCCAGCCUUGGUCUAAGUAGGACUUGGAAUAUCUAUUCUCGCAAAAUCAUACAAUGUACUCUCCAGAGACCGCACAAGUAUUUUCAAAGAUGGAAUAUCUAUUCCAGCAAAAUCAUACAAUGUACUCUUUCUUUAGUUCUAUCCAAGAACCCCUUUCUAUGUAAAGAAAAUUACAGUCUUUUUCAUUGAAUUAGUAUUUAAAUAGUAAAACCCUCCGUAGCUGCUCCUCUCUCAUUUUCUUUGAUCUCGUGAAAUAGCGCUAAGUACACCAAUCACAAUUAAAACUACAACAAUACAUCAAAUUCUAACCUAAAUACAUAUUUAUUUUUUUCAUUAUAUAUUUUCCUCAAAAGGCAUCAGAUCAAGAGUGUAUUAGUGUAAAUUAGUUGGAAAAUAAAAUUAUAAACUACAUAAAAAAUUGUUCAGUUAUGGUCUUUGAAUUAUUAUAAAUACACAAGGACAUCUUUCCCAAAAAUUCAACAAGAGAAUCGAUUAGUUUUACUAAAGAACACACACAACCAAUUACUUGUAUACAAGCUAAUUAGACAGUAGCAUACACAUAGUAAGUAGAGAGCCUUACCUGAUUAAAAUGGUGACGUGUUUUAGUUUCUGCUGAUGAACAAAAAAACAACACCCAAAGGGAAGUUAAUAUCUUCAACAGCUUGUGCAUAUGGAAUCUAAAGGCUUAUCUCCCAUGGCUUUUAAAACCCUUUCUAUUGUCCCUAUCCAUCAACUUGGUCUGCUAACUUCUUAUUUCUUAUUUUUCCAUUUCAAUAAAUCUCUCUCUUCAAAUGCCAUGAUGCUAUUUUUCCAUAAAAGAUCUCACAUAAUAAUAAUAAUAAUAAUAAUAAUAAUAAUAAUAAUAAGAAGAAGAAGAAGAAGAAGAAGAAGAAGAAGAAGAAGUGUCAGAGAAACUGAAUAAAAACACGAUAAUUGACAAGGUUAAAACAAACAAUAAGUAGGUUAUUUCUAAACCAUAGGACACCAAGUAGGAAUACAAAAUACGGGUGGUAAAGUGCAAUGUAAUAUGUUAUUUGGGUAAUUGACACAAAACGUCCCUACCUUGAAGGUUUAUUGUGGAAAACAUCUCCACCUUUCAUUUUUUGGCAUUUUUGCCCUUAUUUCCACAUUUCUUUGCGGAAAACGUCAUUUUCAUCAUUUUUUAAUAUAAAAUGACCAAAAUACCCUCCCAUUUAUAUAAAACCUAAAAAAUAAAAAUAAAUAAAGAAUAAAUUACAAUCUUACUCCUAAAUGUUUUAAAAAGUGCAAGUAAGUCUAAAUAAUUAUUAAAAGGCUUAAUAGCACAAAACGUCCCUAGAUUUGGUCUAUAAUGUGAAAAAGUCCCUACGUUUCAUAUUGGUGAAAGGGACGUAUUUUGCAAUGAAAAGUGAAAAUAGGGAUGAAAAUGUUAAAAAAAAUUGAAAUGUAAGGACAUUUUUCGCCAGAAGUGUCAAACGUAGGGAUUUUUUUUUUUUUUUUGCUAUUGGGCCUUACUAAAAUAUUAGAAGUAACAAAAACUCUCUCUCUCUCUCUCUCUCUCUCUCUCUCUCUCUCUCUCUCCCUCCCUCUCUCCUUCACUCUCUUCCUUUCUUCUCCAAAUGGGCCAACCACUUUAGAAGCCAAAAAAACUCGAGCAAACCACCAUCCAAACUGCUAGACUAUCAUACCACCGAAAAGCCCUUACUUCCUUCUAUACAUACCACCUAACAUCCAAUUUUGAAACUUUCAUGUCAAUAGAUUUAUUAGGAAUUGCAAGCCAAAAUAUCCAACUCUUGAAUAUAAAUACUGGCGGCAUCACCUAUUUCGGAGAGACCCAUGUCAUUUCCAACACACCAAUAUAUUCACUAGGAUAUCUCUAUUCAUGGUCUUUAAAUACCAACAGAUGGUUCAGUGGUAUGGAGGUUCGACGGUUUGGGUGAUGGUUAGUCGAAAUUUUUUCACUUUUAAUGUGACAGUCCCAUUUAGAGAAGAGAAGAGACAGAUAGUUUUUUUUAAUACGCGAAUGCAAAUACUAGCGGCAUCACCUGUUUCGGAGAUAUCCACGGCAUUUUCAACACAUCAAUCGACUAUACUCACUAGGGCGCCUCUCUUCAUGGUCUUAAAAUGUCAAUAGAUAGUUUAGCGGUAUGAAGGUUCGAUGGUUUGGGCGAUUGUUAGUCGAGAUUUUUUUCAUUUCUAACGUGGCAGUCCAAUUUAGAGAAGAAGAGAAGAGAAAUAUUUUUUUAAAUAUUUUAAUAAGGCCUAAUAGCAAAAAAAUCCCUAUGUUUGACACUUCUUGUGGAAAAUGUCCUUACAUUUAAUUUUUUUUUUUUUGCGUUUUAUCUCUAUUUUCACUUUUUAUUGCGGAAAACGUCCCUUUCACCAAUUUGAAACGUAGGGACGUUUUUCACACUAUAGACCAAACCUAGAGACGUUUUGUGCUAUUAGGUUUUUUAAUAAUUAUUUGGACUUGCACUUUUUAAAACAUUUAGGAGUAAAAUUGUAAUUUAUUCUUUAUUUUUCUUUUCUUUUUUUUGGGUUAUAUUUAAAUGGGAGGGCAUUUUAGUCAUUUUACAUUAAAAAUGGUGAAAAUGACAUUUUCGGCAAAGAAAUGUAGAAAUAAGAGCAAAAAUGCCAAAAAAUGAAAGAUAUAGACGUUUUCCACAAUAAACUUUAUAGGUAGGGACGUUUUGUGCCAAUUACCCUAUGUUAUUUACAUCUAAUAGUACACAAUAGUUGAUGAAAUAGAAUAUUACUUGCAUACUAUGUUGGAAUUUUGUUGAAAAUUUUGUAUUAUUUGGUGAAUGAAAAUUUAAGCCAAAUUUAAAUCACUUAAAUACGUGAAUUAUUGGAAAAAUGUGUAGAAUAUUAUGAAAUAUUCUAGAAAUUAUUUGGCUGAAAAUGUGUCUUUCUAUAUAAAAGAUUAUGACUUUUGGCAUUAUCAUUUUUUAAGAGACGUGUCUCUUCAAAUAUAGAGACUAAUUCUAAUAGUUGUGUCUCUUCCAUAGGAUGUGUCUUUUAAGACAAACCUUUUUAACAUCCAUAUAUUGACCCCAUAUGUUUGGGUUUAAUCAUUCAGGAAUUCAAUUCAUUUCAUAACUCCAUAUUAUUCAUUUCAUGUCAAGUUACUUAAAAUACUUUAUAGAAAUGAUUAUAUCUUGCAUCAAAGUCAUGUUUAUGGUAGAGAGGGAAUUUCAUUCGAGUUUGCUGGUCAAAGUAAUUUGGAGUGCUCCUAUGGCUUGACGUAGUCGUUUUAUCUUGGGAGAUGAUUGCUGGAAACCCGUUAGCGCCGAUGCGGGGUAAAUUCAUCUUAAGGACCAAGUGUCAAACACUUGUCUCGACCAAAAAAUAAAAAAAUUCAUCACUCGCAUCUUUCUUCCUUCAUUUUCUGAUUUUUCUUAAUUAUGGUUUGAUUUCAGAAACUGAUUAACAUUAUUUACAUGUUUGUUCUGCGAUAUUUGAUUCAAAGAAUAACUUGCUUUUGUUCAAGAAUCGAAGGAGAUGAAUCCAUAUUCAUGUAUUCGGAUUCGGUAACUAUUAUUGUUUUGCUUCUCAAAUUCUAUUUCGGUAAAUCGAAAUUACGUUUCAAUUUCACGCAAAUAAACGGUAUGUUUUUGUGAAUAUAAUAUGCACAUAAUCGGUGUAUUCCCCAACAAUUUUAAGAUGAAAUUUGUUUUCGUGGAUUUAUAGUUUUCAUUAUUCUGUUUGCAUGAACAAAGUAUUAAAUGGAUUGGAUGAUAAAAUAUGAUUGCAUAAACUCGACGCCGAUUUAUGUUUUAUGCUUGGUGGGGUUCUAUGCAACUCUUAAAAUAAAAAAUAAAAAAAAAUGAACCAUUGCAUACAUGACUACAUGAGAAACUAUUAUGUUAUUAUAUGAAUUGUGUCUUAAGUGUCCAUGACAUCCAUUUGUUUAGUAUAUAAUGAAAGUGAAGUAUUAUAUAUUGCACAUGUUUGCAAUUGUUAAUCAAUAUAUAUUGCUGUCAAUAUGUGUCUUUCCAUAAAUUAGUCAAGGACCAUGAAGUUGGUUUAUUUUGAAAAAGUGCAUGUGGUUUUUAAGACAAUUUAUUAAAUGAUGACUCUUCAUUUUCUAAAUGCUUUUUUCAAAUCCAAUUUUGUAAUCUAUAAUGAACUUGAUUAUCCUAUCAAAUUAUAUGACAUGUAUAUUUAUUUAAACGAGAUCUAUAUAUGUUGGUCAUUGGUACAACUCCAAUGUUAUUGGAAUAGAUGCCAACUAAUUGUGAAAGUAUAUGAACUUUCAUGACUAUUCCUUUUAUUGGAAUAUGAAAUAUGACAUAGUAAAUUAAUUGGUUAAAUUUUCAUAUCUUGUUGAAAUUAUACUAACUUUGAUUAAUAUUGAUAGCCUCAUUUAAUCCUAUGGGAUUAAGUGAGAUGAAUUUUAUGCAAGUUAUAUUUGCAUAAAGUAUGACAAAUUGUUAUUUGCUCUAGUGAAAAUUGUUGCAAAAAUAUUAUGAUAUAAAAAUACUUUGUAGAACACAAACUGUGCCUAAAGUUGGCAAUGAUGCUGAACUUCCUUUAAAUCUAGAAAAAUUUUAUUGUGAUGAUUUAGUUAAACAUCUGACUUCAAUAAAAUUAAAUGGGAUGAUUUGUGCAAAAUUAUAUUUGCAUAAGAAUAUGACAAAAUGUAAUUUGUCUUAAUUUGAUUACUUGGAAUUGGUGGAAAAUUAUGUAGAAUAUUAUGAAAUAUUUUAGGAUCAAUUUAGAUGAAAAGGUGCGUCCUUUCAUAUGAAAAAUCAUGACUUAUGAUAUAAUUAUUUUCCAAUGGGUAUGUCUCUUCAUAGAGAUUAUUCCAAGAAGUGUGUCCUUUUAUAGGAUUGUGUCUUUUGAGAACACAACUUUUCAACCGAUAGUUGAAAUGAAACUAUCAUGUGAAAUGUCACAAAUAUGAUAAGUUGCAUAUGUUUGAAGAAGUUGCAAUGCUUAGCCCUCUUUAUCGUUGAAUUUGGCUUCAAUUAUGAAACCAAAUAAGUUGGUAUAUGUUUUGAAAGCAUUGUUGGUCCAUGUAAUGGCCUUGAUUUAAUUUGAAUGAUCAAAUUAAAAUAAUUGAAUUGAAGUACGUUAUAUGCAACUUUAAUUGAAAUAAAUUGUGAGUCAACGACCACUAUUUUGAAAGUACUUGAAUUUCCAUGAAGCACUCGACAUAGAUAUUAUCUAAGAGAUAAAUUAAUAGAACUAUAAAAAAGUUACUGAAUCCUAAGUUCAAUUGUAACCCAUAGAUGUGAGGGGCUAUCAUAAAUACUCAUGAAAUUGAGUGAAAAUUUCAAAACUUGUGGAUGCAAUGUUACUAGAUUGUAUUUGCAUUCCUAAUUGAGAAACUGUGAGGGUAAAUUAGCUUAACAGUUACAUUUGCUUUUAUCUUAUAAUCAUAGAAAGAUAUCUAUGAAGGUGAAAAGAUAGAAAACCCUUAUACUAAUUAUAAGGAUGGUAUACACUAAGUCUAAAGUAGAUGAAAUGGGUUGUAAAGCCGAUUUUGGCAUUUGUUUAGACAUGCAAGAACGAUUGAAAUAUAUGAAAAAUAUUCAUAAAGUUCAAACGCAUGGUAAUGUUUCAAUGAUGAUAUUGAACUGCCAUGAUUCUGAAAUUCACUAGUAAAAGUGAUUGACUAGUGUAGUGUUUGAUAAAAAUUCCCCAAUCGUAUUUGGAAAUUGAUAAAGCUAAUGAGGCAUAUAACUUCAUGAGAGGAUUUCUUGACGGCGACAAUUUGUAUCUAUCAAAUAAAUCGAUCGUUGGCUAGCUAUAUUUGAUAAGAUACUAAGUCACAUAUAACAAUAGGUCUAGACGUAUAAGUCAUAGACAUAAUACCAUUAAGCAAAUUAUCUCAAUAGUGUAAACUCGUGGUACCUUUAAGACAUUUAUCGAGAAAUUAAGUAUACUGCAUAUCGAAUGGAAUGAGAUUGAAGCCUACUACGAUAGAGUUCUUAUAAUGGUAACCCUACCUUACUGAUUGGAGAUCCUAAGAUCUUGGUUCAAAGGGACAACUAAGUUAUGAGGAUUCCAUGAAGAACUAAGGAAAAUAACUCUCUAACUCAUUCCUAUGAUAAUAAAGUACUUUCUGCAGAGUUGCAAGAGGUUAAGAUAAUCUUUUAAUUAUUCCUAUAUCCUGAUUAAAUCUAAUGGCGUAGGGCAAAAUACUCUUAAUAGGGGUCACCUAUAUGAGUGUGAAGUGGGGCCGCUUCAAUGAGAAUUAUUUAAGGUUUAAAUUCUCUAAACACUCGCGAAGCCAAGAAGGGUUCUGGGCUAAAAUGAAUCAAGUCAUGAGAACCAUGAACGAUUUAGGGAAGACAUUAUGUGAGUAUCAUUGUCUUGGCUUACACUAAACACUAAAUAAUUUAAGACAUCACGUUCUCCAAUUAGUCGAGUAAGUACGAUGAUAUUUCACUUAGGGAGGUUCAAGAUCAGAAGCUACCAUCCCUGAUGCAGAGUUUUUUCGCUCUCUCUACUAGUGUCUGCAUAGAUAUUUGCAUUAAUUUUUAUUCAUGUGGGGGAUUGUUGGAAUUUUGCUGGAAAUUUUGUAUUAUUUGGUGAAUGGAAAAUUAAGCCAAAUUUAAAUCACUUAAAUACUUGAACUAUUGAAAUAUGUAUAGAAUAUUAUGGAAUAUUCUAGAAAUUAUUUGGCUGAAAAUGUGUCUUUCUACAUAAAAGAUCAUGACUUUUGACAUUAUCAUUUUUCAAGAGACGUGUCUUUUUAAAUAUAGAGAUUAAUUCCAAUGGUUGUGUCUCUUCCAUAGGUUGGGUCUUUUAAGACAAACCUUUUCAACAUCUAUAUGUUGACCCCAUAUGUUUGGAUUUAAUCAUUCAGGAAUUCAAUUCAUUCCAUAAUUCCAUAUUUUCAUUUCAUGUCAAAUUACUUAAAAUAAAUUGUAGAAAUGAUUAUGUAUUGCAUCAAAGUCAUGUUUAUGGUAGAGAGGGAAUCACGUUCUAGUUUGCUGGUCGAAGUAAUUUGGAGUGCUCAUAUGGCUUGACGUGGUCGUUUUAUCUUGGGAGAUGAUUGUUGGAAAACUGUUAGCACCGAUGCGGGGCAAAUUCAUUUUAAGGACCAAGUGUCAAACACUUGCCUCGACCAAAAAAGAAAAAAUAAAAAAAUUCAUCACUUGCAUCUUUCUUCCAUCAUUUUCUGAUUUUUCUUAAUUAUGGUUUGAUUUCAAAAACUGAUUAACAUUAUUUACAUAUUUGUUCUGCGAGGUUUGAUUCAAAUAAUAACUUGCUUUUGUUCAAGAACCGAAGGAGAUGAAUCCAUAUUCAUGCAUUCGAAUUCGGUAACUAUUAUUGUUUUGCUUCUCAAAUUCUAUUUCGAUAAGUCGAAAUUACGUUUCAAUUUCACGUAAAUAAACGAAAUGCUUUUGUGAAUAUAAUAUGCGGAUAAUCGAUAUAUUCCCCAACAUACUAAUCCUAACAGUUAAUGUUCGGCGUGAAAGUGUAAACUACAAGUGCACAAGUCGCAUUCAAGUAAUAAAAAGGACAUUUUAAAUUCGAGUUGUCAAUACUUCAAAGAAUGUUUACUUUUAAUUACACAACUUUAAUCAAUUUAAUUUUACCAGUAAAAAAACACACAAUAAAGCCCUUGUUUGAGCUCUAUUUUUUUCAAAUUAUAAUGAAAUGAAUAGUAAUUUUUUGAAUAAUGUGUGGUUAAAAAGAAAGUAAAUUUUUUUAGGUUUAGAUGUAUUAUUAUUUUGUUGAAAAAUGUUUGAUUGAUAAAAAGAGAAAGAAAAAUGAAUUUUAAUUUAAUAGAGGCCAAAUAGGGACAAAGAUUUAUUUUUGAAAAAUAAGGAAAAUUAAAUAAAAUCAACAAAAAUAAGAAAACAUAAAUACAUGUAAAUUUUGGAGGAAAAUGUUAUUAGAAUUCAUGAUUUCGCUUAACCUCAUCUAAUUAAUUUCUCCACGAGCCAUUUAAUAAAUUACUCGUUUACGACGUCAAACUCAAUUUUUCAAUUUUAGUUAAUUAUCUCUUUUGAACAAAAUUAGCCCCUAAUUGAUUAGUUUAAUCUAUUAUAUCUCUAUGCCAAUUAAAACUAAACAAUCGCAUUAAUUAUUUGUGAAAAUAGCUUAAAGGGCCACCUAAAGUUAAAGGUAUAUUUAUAUCCUCUACACAAACCUCUAGUUUUUACCAUUUAAUCUAAAAUGUACAAUCUUCUCCAGAACGUAUACAAAUCACUAAACAUAAUCAUUCAUUGACUACAUAAAUUAAAGUGCAACAAAUACAAUAAUGGAAACACAUAAAAAUAAGUAUUUGAACAUUAUAGGGAAAAUAUAGAAUCUCAAGAUUCUUAUUCAUCCACUUGAAAUUUUCAAGUUCAACCAAGCUAUUUUGUUUCCCGAGCCUCUAGUGAGUUACAGACAGAGUUCAAAAAGGUCAAAUCUUUGAUGAUUCCAUCAUCUAUGAUUAAGUUGCAGCAGAAGAUCCUGAAUUUGAAACUUUCUACACCAAAAAUAUUAUAUUAAACGAAGGUAUUCGUGCUUGGAUGGCAGCUAAAGAAAAAAUAUAGGCUAGGCGUAAGCGUAAAUCGAUAUGCUGAAAUAAAAAAUACGAAGCACCGAUGAUAUAGAAAUAGUGAAUCCUAAUGUAAAUAGAGUUUAGGUUCGAAUUCGAUAUUCUUCCAAUAUCAAUUUCGGUUGAUAGUGGUUUUUUAUCAAAUCGAUCUAUUUUCUGUUCAAUUUUUUGGUAAUCAGUAUCAGGAAGAAGGCUAUGUUAAAUUUUAAGCAUAAAUCCCAACACAAAUAUUUAGCACAUGUUAAACGAUUGAUAAAAAGGAGAAUCUAUAUAACAAUACAUUACAAGUUAGACAAAAUAAUCGAGAAAAUUCAAGAUUAUAGACAAAAUCUUUUUUGAAACUUGGUCUUGACUUUACCUAAAUAUUUCUCCUCCUUCCUUGGAUGUAUUCUCCACGUGCUUUGAGUUUUAUCCCACAAUAUUAAGAAAAAUUAAAGGAAGAAGAAAGAAAAGAAGAUGAAAGAAGAAGAAUUAGAAUGGAAAAAUCCUAUUUUAGCUCCUAGUUUUAAUAUUUCAAAUAGGUAUUUUCAAAAAUGUCUAAUUUCAUGGGUGUCAAUUGAAAAAUGUCGACUUUUUAAAUUUAGCACUAAAUUGUUUAUUAAGCCCUUUAUGAAAACAGAAGCAAUUUAUUUAUUUUUUCAAUUUGUUGCGGAUUUCGAAAAGUAGUUUUCAUGAGAAGCUACAUUAAAAUGAAAUUCUCGACAUUUCAAAUGUCAUUCUCGAUAUUUGAAUUCCGUUUAUAUUUUAAAAGUACACAUGUCAAAUCACAAUAUUAAAUGUUCUUGGCAUUCUAAAUCUCUAGAAUGACAUUUCAUUCUGAACAUGACAAUUCUCAACACUUAAAAUGUAAUUUUCGACAUUUUUGUGUCAAUGAGAAAAAUAGCAUUAAUUGUGAUUGGACAUGUGCACUAUUAAAAUAAAUAUGGUAGAUUAUGUGUCCAAAAUUUAUUGGCCAAUAAAAUUUUUACAAAAAUGUCCAUUUCUUGUUUUUGUGUGGAAUCAUAAAUUGUUCACAGGGGUAUGUUGGUCCAAAAUAUUCCAAAAUGGACAUUUUUGCAAGAAUUUGUGAAAGUGGACAUUUUUGCAAAUGAACAUGUGAAAGUGGACAUUUCAAGCAAUUUCCUCUAUUUCAAAUUCAAACCUAGAAAAUUUGAAACCAAGUCCUUGAAGUUUUGAAAAGAAAUAAAAAGGUCUCCAUUUUUAUUUUUUAUUUUUUUAAAUGGCGCCUAAACGCCAACUCUCAUCCAAAUGGUUUCAUUUAUUAUUAUUUUUUUCUUUUUCUUUUGCACACAAGUCCUCUAUAAAUUUGCGCUCAAUGUUCUCAACUUUAAUCUUGUACAAUUUGGUCAUUGAAUUUUGACUUUCAUUUCAAUCAUACCUCCAAAAUUUCAACCCAAGGUUCAUCAACUUUCUCCCAUUGUGCAAUUUGGUCACCAACUCCAUGUUUUUGUACGCUUUUGAUCAAUUUUCUCUCCCUUUUGCCUUGUUCUCUUUCUGUUUGGCGUUUAUGACCAACAAAAAUCAAAAUUAGCCAAUUGUAAAUAGAAAAUCACUCAACUUAAUCAAUAAUUAGCUUGUUAAAAUAUUUAAUAAUUGUACAAAAAUGCACCUAUCAAAUACUUCCAAACUUAUGUUCUUGCUCAUCCCAAGCAAGAUUAUCUACAACAUAAAUCAAGCAAACGUGAUAAUAAUUAACACAUUAGAUAGCUUGCCAAAAAUAUCGAAGAGUGUAAAAUUGUAUAGUCAAUUCACAAAUAUGCUCCAAAUAAUGCAAGCAAAAAUAAUUUAAUCUUAUCCAAUAUUUGAUCGGUGUGUGCGCUCGUACAAAGUCACUUUCAAUCAUCAUCUAAAUUAAGAAAAAGUUGUCAAGACAGAAGAAAUUUCAAAUUAGCACAAACCCGACCUUUAGUGGUCAAAUAUUUCCUUUCUACUCGUGAAAUUCACACACUCAAAUAGGUAAUCCUUUUUUUUUGGCCCCCGGGUGUAAAUCUAAAGGCUUCUAUCAAAUCACCCAUUUCAUUUCCCGCUCUUGUUCGGCUGGGCCUGACUAGCAAUCUCAACAUCUAGACAUGUAAUGAUUCCACACUAAUGAGUGCUUCAACAUUCAAGUUUAUACUAAGUAAUUCAAAGGCACUACUUAUAAAAGCCCAAUUAUCAAAUAUAAUUGCACAAUAAUAAUUUUUUUUCCCUUCUUUCAAUUAAAUCUCAUAUUUUACCUUACUCCCCUUGAACUUUCUUUUUAUUACACUACAUUUCAUUCCUGUUAUCUUCUAGUAAACUCUCAGUGAUUGAUCUGGGCUAAUACUUCCUGGGUUACAGAUUCCCAGGGCUUACAGUAGAGCAACAACAACAGCUAAUCUACAGGAAAUUACUCAGCAGCUUCAGGGUUCUAACAUUGAUCUACAGACAGAAAAUUCUCAAACGAUUCAAAUUUCACAAACUAAAUUACCAAAUAUACACAAAGACAGACGUAUGUCUUCUAGAUAGAUUUAUACAUAUCCGUGUGCACUAUCUGUUGCAAUCAUGGGCUCUUCUGCCUCCCCUUUCUCAAAUCCCAUUUCAUAUUUUUCAUCAUAUUGAGUUUAUGCUAAAAAGGGAUCAUCAAUUGAAUUGUCCAAGAUAACAAAACACAAAAAAGAAUGGUGCAGGUAAUGUUGAUAACAAAAACAUGACAGGCUAAAAAAUCUAAAUUUUUAUGUAUACUCCACUCAAUUUUUCAGUAUGAAGAAUUAUGACAUGUUAUUGCCUAAUAUUUACGUUUCUUCCACUCAAUUAUACAAUCUGGUGGACAAGUUUAAACAGUUUAUUAGUUUAUUAUCCUCAACUAUUCAAUUAACUAAAAUUCCCAUUACAGCAAAUAGGAAGAAAAGAUAACAUUCAAAAAGCCAGCUAACGCAAAUGUUCAAUUUUAUUUUCCUUAAAUCCUGAAGAGUAUAACAUAGCGAAGAGUUAUAAAAUUGUGUUAAUUAAAUGAUAAAGAGGGAAUGUUACUUGACAUACACCAUGUGAAAAGCGAGCCAUCGAAGGCGGCGGCAGUAGUGUGCUCACAUCCACAAGCAAUAUGAAGCCACUAGAAUUUAUGUCGGCGGGACAACAGAUUGCGCUCUUCGUGGGGACAUUUCCCCGUUGUGAAUCCCCAAAUAGCUCAUUGAUCUCCAUAUUUCUUUACUACUUAUUAUCAAUUCCGCACAUCCUAGAAGAAAUCAUAAAACCAAUGUAGAAAAUGGAUAACUAACUAUGACUGAAAUCAAUUUGGGGAAUGGGAAAUGAGAAAUUAGUAAAGUCAAUUGUCACCUACGGAAGAAUUGAGCCACGAACAGUUAAAUCGAGAUGGGUCUUAGACGGAAAGUUGGAAACUGAGUUUUUAUUUUUUUAUUUUUUUUGGCAUUCAUUACCUUAGUUCUUCGAUCUCC